CCUACGGGAGGCAGCAGUGGGGAAUAUUGGACAAUGGGCGCAAGCCUGAUCCAGCAAUGCCGCGUGAGUGAUGAAGGCCUUAGGGUCGUAAAGCUCUUUUACCAGGGAUGAUAAUGACAGUACCUGGAGAAUAAGCUCCGGCUAACUCCGUGCCAGCAGCCGCGGUAAUACGGAGGGAGCUAGCGUUGUUCGGAAUUACUGGGCGUAAAGCGUACGUAGGCGGUUAUUCAAGUCAGAGGUGAAAGCCCGGGGCUCAACCCCGGAACGGCCUUUGAAACUAGGUAGCUAGAAUCUUGGAGAGGUCAGUGGAAUUCCGAGUGUAGAGGUGAAAUUCGUAGAUAUUCGGAAGAACACCAGUGGCGAAGGCGACUGACUGGACAAGUAUUGACGCUGAGGUACGAAAGCGUGGGGAGCAAACAGGAUUAGAUACCCUGGUAGUCCACGCCGUAAACGAUGAUAACUAGCUGUCCGGGCACUUGGUGCCUGGGUGGCGCAGCUAACGCAUUAAGUUAUCCGCCUGGGGAGUACGGUCGCAAGAUUAAAAACUCAAAGAUAGUAGACGCGAGAGAGUCGACGAGACACAGGAGGUAG
rnacentral:rRNA from 1 species